CCUACGGGAGGCAGCAGUGAGGAAUAUUGGUCAAUGGCCGGAAGGCUGAACCAGCCAUGCCGCGUGAAGGUCAGUGCCCUAUGGGCGUUACACUUCUUUUGUGCGGGAGCAAUAAUGGUCACGUGUGGCCAGACGAGAGUACCGUACGAAUAAGCAUCGGCUAACUCCAUGCCAGCAGCCGCGGGUAUCCGGGGGUUGAAAGUGUUAUCGGGCUUUAUGGGGUUGAAGGGGUGCGUAGGGUGGGAGGGAAGUCACGGGUGAAAUGCCCCCGCGCAAAGGGGUGAAGUGCCAUUGAUACUGCCUUGCUGGAAUGCGGAUGCGGUGGGAGGAAUGUGUGGUGUAGCGGUGAAAUGCAUAGAUAUCACGCAGAACACCGAUUGCGAAGGCAUCUCACGAAUCCGCGAUUGACGCUGAUGCACGAAAGCGUGGGUAUCAAACAGGAUUAGAUACCCUAGUAGUC
rnacentral:rRNA from 1 species